rnacentral:rRNA from 1 species
UACGAAGGGGGCUAGCGUUGCUCGGAAUCACUGGGCGUAAAGCGCACGUAGGCGGCUCUUUAAGUCAGGGGUGAAAUCCUGGAGCUCAACUCCAGAACUGCCUUUGAUACUGGAGAGCUCGAGUCCGGAAGAGGUGAGUGGAACUCCGAGUGUAGAGGUGAAAUUCGUAGAUAUUCGCAAGAACACCAGUGGCGAAGGCGGCUCACUGGUCCGGAUCUGACGCUGAGGCGCGAAAGCGUGGGGAGCGAACAGG